CCUACGGGCGGCUGCAGUGGGGGAUAUUGGACAAUGGGGGGGAACCCUGAUCCAGCGACGCCGCGUGAGUGAAGAAGUAUUUCGGUAUGUAAAGCUCUGUCAGCAGGGAAGAAAGCAAUGAAGGUACCUGACCAAGAAGCCCCGGCUAACUACGUGCCAGCAGCCGCGGGAAUACGUAGGGGGCAAGCGUUAACCGGAAUUACUGGGUGUAAAGGGAGCGUAGACGGCUGUGCAAGUCUGGAGUGAAAGGCGGGGGCCCAACCCCCGGACUGCUCUUGAAACUGUAUGGCUGGAGUGCAGGAGAGGUAAGCGGAAGUCCUAGUGUAGCGGUGAAAUGCGUAGAUAUUAGGAGGAACACCAGUGGCGAAGGCGGCUGACUGGACUGUAACUGACGUUGAGGCUCGAAAGCGUGGGGAGCAAACAGGAUUAGAUACCCCAGUAGUC
rnacentral:rRNA from 1 species